CCCGCGUGUUUUCCCCUCCUAGGCGUCCCCGGGACAGCGGAGCGGGCCGGCCGAGCGACCGCAGCCUCCUGCGUUCUUGUCCUUGUUUCUGCGCUCAAAGUGACCGGAAAAGGAGGAGGGCAGCUGCAGCUCCUGGGGUCAGAGGUGCUACCGCAGCCCGCCCCUCCCCGCGGCAGCCCCUGGGGUCAGCAGCAAAGCCAGAGCGAGGAGCGCUCUUACGCCUCGCCCUUCCCACGGCCGCAGGCAGCGCAGCGCGGGGUCAAGCCGCAGCCGCUCGGGGCAGAACACGAGGGGAAGAGCACUGCAGAAGUUGGCGGAGGAGAGGAGGCAGAGUUGUCCCUCGCCCUGGUGACAGACCACUGGAUUAUCUGAGCCGUUAG
rnacentral:lncRNA from 1 species